GGCGGGCGCCUGUAGUCACAGCUACUCGGAAGGCUGAGGCAGGAGAAUGGUGUGAACCCAGGAAGGCAGAGCUUGCAGUAAGCCGAGAUCACGCCACUGCACUCCAGCCUGGGUGACAGAGCGAGACUCCGUCUCAAAAAAAAAAAAGAAAAGAAAAAAGAAAAAAGAAAUCUGCAUGCCUUUUUAACAGCUCCCAGGGGAUUCUUAUAUACAUCAUGU
rnacentral:lncRNA from 1 species